UAGGGAAUCUUCCACAAUGGGCGAAAGCCUGAUGGAGCAACGCCGCGUGUGUGAUGAAGGGUUUCGGCUCGUAAAACGCUGUUGUAAGAGAAGAAUGACAUUGAGAGUAACUGUUCAAUGUGUGACGGUAUCUUACCAGAAAGGAACGGCUAAAUACGCGCCAA
rnacentral:rRNA from 1 species